CCCUGGUGUUUAGAUAUUCCCAACCAGUAUCUUAAUUUCUAAUGAGUAAUGAAAGUUUCUAUUUUGAAUUGAUAUGUACUUAAUCUUUUCUUAGUACAAUUAUAUUUCUUUAUCGCAUGUUAUUUUCUCCUUCAUAACUACAAUAUCAUUUUGUUUCAUAAUUUUUUUACAAAUUUGACCUUUUCAAUUGUGAUUUUGUAUUCAACUUAUAUGCUCUGUAUUUUAUCCUUUUUUUUCCAGGGGAAAGCCUUGGUAUGAACCUGAUUGGUGGAAAUUUGGGGAUGAAAAAUCGUAUUUCCGACAUGCAUCUGGUUCACUUGUUAUACUUUCAAAGAAUUUGGCACAGUACAUUAACAUAAACAGUGUAUCUUUGAAGACAU